GAUUUUAUAGUCAAUAAUGAUAUUAAAUUGCAAAUUUAAAGGUACAAUAAAAGUUGAAAUUU
rnacentral:tRNA from 1 species